CCCGGGCCUCACGCAAUCAGCUAUCGUGCGUAGUUGAUUACGAGUUUAGCCCGGAAGAGUACAGAUGAGCAAAAGUCGACGCGCGUAAGAAACGGAGAAGGAGAGAGGAGGUUAGGCGAGAGAAAGGACGAAAAAGGGUGAACGGAAGAAGGGAAAGGAAGGACAGAUGUUGCAGCAGCAGCGGCCGACGAGACGAAGGUGCGAAGGCAUGGCCAUGGGUGCUAUCAUCCUCGAUCUGCGUCCCGGCCUUGGAAUCGGACCGUUCACUCUUGGGAUGCCGAUAUGUGAAGCAUUUGCUCAGGUGGAGCAGCAACCUGGCAUCUAUGAUGUUGUCCAUGUGAAGUACCUUGACGAGGAGCCUCUCAAGUUGGACAUUGUAAUUAGCUUUCCUGAUCAUGGUUUUCAUCUUCGUUUUGAUCCAUGGUCUCAGAGAUUGCGCCUUAUUGAAGUUUAUGAUGUCAAACGGCUUCAAAUGCGCUACGCAACUUCUCUAAUUGGAGGUCCUUCCACUCUAGCUACCUUUGUUGCUGUCUAUGCACUUUUUGGCCCCACCUUCCCAGGAAUUUAUGACAAGGAUAGAGGGGUUUACAAUCUGUUCUACCCGGGGUUAUCUUUUGCUUUUCCAAUUCCCACCCAGUAUGCGGACUGCUGCCAUGAUGGAGAAGCGGAGUUGCCUCUUGAAUUCCCUGAUGGAACAACUCCAGUUACAUGCCGCGUAUCUGUUUAUGACAGUUCUCCGGACAUUAAAGUUGGUGUGGGGUCCCUUAUGAAUAAGGCUAUAGCUCCACCACUGCCUGCUGGCAGUCUCUACAUGGAAGAGGUUCAUGCUAAGCUUGGAGAAGAGCUAUGUUUCACUGUUGGAGGUCAGCAUAUUCCAUUUGGUGCAUCGCCGCAGGAUAUUUGGACUGAGUUAGGGCGUCCUUGUGGUAUCCAUCAGAAACAGGUAGACCAAAUGAUGAUACACUCUGCUUCAGACCCUAGACCACGAACAACUCUCUGUGGUGAUUAUUUCUACAAUUACUUUACUCGUGGUCUGGACAUAUUAUUCGAUGGCCAGACUCAUAAAAUCAAGAAGUUUGUUUUGCACACAAACUUUCCAGGACAUGCAGACUUUAAUUCGUACAUAAAGUGCAACUUUGUCAUCUAUGGUUCUGAUGCUGCAGGGCCAAUCCAGGAAGGAAAUGCUCCCAGGAAUUGCAUUACACCAAGCACAAAGUGGGAACAAGUAAAGGAGAUCCUCGGGGAUGGUGGGCGAGCUGCAAUCCAAACACAGGGAUCCACGAGCAAUCCUUUUGGAUCGACUUUUGUAUAUGGGUAUCAAAAUGUAGCUUUUGAGGUUAUGAAAAAUGGCUAUAUAGCCACAGUGACGCUCUUCCAGUCAUAAAAUAACCUAUUGGCUGCAGGAGUUUAAUAGGUGGAACUUUAGUAGGAGAGACCAAUUCCGGAAUUUCACAUGCAAUCAAGUUUCUGUUGGAAGUUCUUGGAUUUGUACAUGGCGAUCCAUAAAGGCAUUUUAUUAUGCAGGAAGUGCUUGGAUUUGUACACAGUGAUCCAUAAAAGCAUUUUACACCAAUCUUGUGGGCCUCUGUAAUCACUCAUUAGUGUACAGAUGUGAAUAACAUUAGGCAUGUAGGUUUCUUAUUCCUCUCUCUCUCUCUCUCUCUCUCUCUCUCUCUCUCUCUCUCUCUCAUUGUUCGUCCUGUUCCUAUGAAUACAAACAUUUAUUCUGUGAAUUUCUUGCUCUUGGAUGUUGUACAAAUGAUAUUCAGGAAAUGCAAAAGAAUAGUCAAGAAAUAAAGGGCCAGCUGACAUAUGAUAGUGCGGGGCAACGAUUAUUGAUUA